UACGUAGGUGGCAAGCGUUGUCCGGAUUUACUGGGCGUAAAGAGCGCGCAGGCGGUCGUUCAAGUCGCGUGUGAAAGCCCCCGGCUCAACUGGGGAGGGUCACGCGAUACUGAUCGACUCGAAGGCAGGAGAGGGUAGUGGAAUUCCCGGUGUAGUGGUGAAAUGCGUAGAGAUCGGGAAGAACAUCGGUGGCGAAGGCGGCCUGCUGGGCUGUUGCUGACGCUGAGGCGCGACAGCGUGGGGAGCAAACAGG
rnacentral:rRNA from 1 species